rnacentral:tRNA from 1 species
UCGCCCUCCCGCCCCGCUUUAGAGCACCAGACUACGAAUCUGGGGGUCAGGAGUUCGAAUCUCUUCGGGCGCGCCA